ensembl:snoRNA
AUUUGUUGAAAAUAACUGCCCCCUCCCCGGCUCAGGCCAUAGUCAUCUGUGAGAUUCAGUGCCUAGAUCGUCCAGGGCUUUAGCUCACCGUCCACUGCCAGUGUGGAAGGGUGAAACCCUGGCUCCCACAGCC